ACACACUUCAUUUGAUGUGGUCUCAUCCAAGGUGCAAAUAUUGUGAAUCAAAUCGAACGAGAUGCGGAUUCAACAAGAGGAAUAGUAGUGAUGAUAUUGCAUGUUUUGAGGUUCUUUACAAAGACUCAUCACACAAAUUUGUGAUUCCAUGAUCAUGGGCUCACUUCUUCUAGUGGUGACGCCGGUUGUAAUUCAUUAUGUUCGCAACUCCUACAAAUCAUGAAAAGAAAGCCAAGCAAUAAUUGAAAAUUUUCUGAAAGAUUAUAGAGCUUGCAAGCCAACCAGAUAUUCUUAUGCUGAAAUCAAGAGAAUUACCAAUC